AUUGAACGCUGGCGGCAGGCCUAACACAUGCAAGUCGAGCGGAGCGGCGGACGGGUGAGUAAUGCCUAGGAAUCUGCCUGGUAGUGGGGGAGAAGGUCCGGAAACGGACGCUAAUACCGCAUACUCUCAGAUGAGCAUAGGGCGGCUUAGCUAUUUGGUGGGGUAAAGGCCUACCAAGGCAACGACCCGUAACUGGUCUGAGAGGAUGAUCAGUCACACUGGAACUGAGACACGGUCCAGACUCCUACGGGAGGCAGCAGUGGGGAAUAUUGGACAAUGGGCGAAAGCCUGAUCCAGCCGUGCCGCGUGUGUGAAGAAGGUCUUCGGAUUGUAAAGCACUUUAAGUUGGGAGGCGUUACCAACAGAAUAAGCACCGGCUAACUUCGUGCCAGCAGCCGCGGUAAUUC
rnacentral:rRNA from 1 species